rnacentral:lncRNA from 1 species
CCCUCCGUUUCCAGGAGACGGGAACACCAGCUUCGCCUCCUCGGACCCCACCUCUCCCGCAGGUGAGGCCCUGGGCUGCUGAGCUCUGGGGAGGAUCAGCCCUUCGCAGGGCCCCGAGCACGCAGCCUCCGCCCGAGCAUCCAGUGAGGGCCGGGUGUGCCCAGCGCCUCUCCAGAUGGACAGCGCGCUUGUGGCCCCACCUCCCGGCGGGGGGAGCCGGACCGAGUCAGGGUGCCCUAAAUAAGGAGGGAGUGAGGCUGCGGGGACUCAAAAGUCUGGCUGAGGCCGCUUCGAGGCAGGUCGCUGUCCAGGGUGGCCACCGAGAGGGGGGCGUCGGAGCCAGGGACACCUGAGAGCAGGAGGAAGUCCCGGGUCUGGGGGACAGAGGGGGCUCCCAGGAGGGAGGGCACGGCCGCCGCCGGGGCAGGAGGAGGCCAGGCAGCCCGGGAGGGCGGAAACGGGGUGGGGGAGACGCUGGAGGGGCUCGGGAGGGAGAAGCCCUCGCCAGCGCCCCCACUCAUCCUCCCAUCCUCAGCAGCGGCGGAUGCCAGGGAGCCCUGCCCUGUGGCCACAGAAUCGGGCGCCCGGAAAGACCCGGCCCCCGGGGACCUCCCGGCCCAGAACGUCGUGCGGCUCGGCCUGGCGCUCCUGGUCCUGGUGGCCCUCGCCUGGCUCCUGGCUGAAGACUGGCAGAGCAGGAAGAGGGCUCGUGCGAGAGCCCAGGGCGCCGCGGCUGUGGAGCGCAGGGCAAGGAGGGGGCACAGAGUCCCUGCGGAGAAGGCCGCGGCGCCCUUCCGCUUGGAGUGUGUGUGCGUGUGAGUGUGUGUGUGCAUGUGUGCGUGUGUGUGCGUGUGUGCAUGUGUGAGUGUGCGUGCGUGUGGGUGUGCGUGUGUGCAUGUGUGUGAGUGCGCGCGUGUGCAUGUGUGCGUGUGAGUGUGUGUGUGCAUGCGUGUGUCCAUGUGUGAGUGUGCGUGCGCGGGCGUGCCGCUCUGGGGGCGGGACCCAGGGCUUUGCACUGAGCCGCACCCCCAGCCCACCUCCUUGUUUAUCUGCGGGCACAGGCUCUUGCUGAGUAGCUCAGGGAGAGCCUGUCUCAAGCUAAAAACGAAAACAGGGCUGGGCCG